rnacentral:rRNA from 1 species
CGUAGGGUGCGAGCGUUGUCCGGAUUUACUGGGCGUAAAGGGCUCGUAGGUGGUGUGUCGCGUCGUCUGUGUAAUCCAGGGGCUUAACUUUUGGUUGGCAGGCGAUACGGGCGAUUGCUUGAGUGCUGUAGGGGAGGACUGGAAUUCCUGGUGUAGCGGUGAAAUGCGCAGAUAUCAGGAGGAACACCGAUGGCGAAGGCAGGUCUCUGGGCAGUUACUGACGCUGAGGAGCGAGAGCAUGGGUAGCGAACAGGAUU